rnacentral:misc_RNA from 1 species
AAUUCUCAAACCUUCUCGGUUUUUCAACCAAGAAGGCUUUGGACUUUGGAGGUAUUUUGCUGGCUUCAUGCAGAGCCAGCUCCUCUUAAAUGCAUUAGUGGGGUCCCCUUUGCCGGUCCUCUGACGUGAUAAGCCAUUUCUACGUCCUGGGAUUUGCUCUGUUUCUUGGGAACCUGCUUCCAACCGUCUCACAUGAGACGUCGUUCGAGCUCGCUCGCUCGACCCCAUGAAC